AUGGGCGCGGGGCCGGGCUGCGCCCUGGUGCUGAUGGUGGCUCUUAGUGCCGCGGGCGGAGCGGAGAUCCUGCAGCCGGGCUCGGCAGCGGCGCCGGAGGGAGCUCCGCUCAACCUCACCUGCAGCCACGGCUCAGUGUCCGGCGGGGACAGAGUGCAGUGGUACCGGCAGUUCCCGACCCGAGGGCCCCAGUUCCUCGUGUCCGGGUACACGGGCACCGUCCCUGUGUCCGCCCCGGAGGGGGCUCUGCACAUCUCGGCGGACACAAAAUCCAGCGCCCUGGAGCUCCGCGCUGCCGGGCGGGGGGACGCGGCCGUGUAUUACUGCGCUGUGAGCGGCACGGUGCGGCAGCCUGAGCCUGCCCCGGACUAA